AGACGACGUAGAGUACAAAAGAAGUGAAUACGUUGGACUGGACGGAACCCAACGAAUCGGAUAAACACGAUUAUUUAGUCCCAGUCCGCCCAGUAACUAUUUGAUCGCUCACCAUGAAAAUCUGGAUGACGUUAUCUACUGCUGUUGCAUUCGUGAUUCUAUCAAUCCUGUUCUCUCCGGUAGUUAAGGCCGUCGCAGUCACGUCCGUCGUGACGAGCACCGUCACAACGACCGUCACAUCUACGAACAAACAAGUUUGUUGCCAGUUGGUGAACGUUACUGGCGCCUGUCGUCGCCGGCGCAACUUUGAAUUUAUCGACAAGCCAGAGAUCUUGACAUUUGACGAAGAUAUUGAAGACGAUGUCGACGUUGCCCUAAAAAAUGUGUUC